UGCCUUUUGUAGAAUGAACCGGCGAGUUACGAUUUGAUGCAAGGUUAAGCAGUAAAUGUGGAGCCGUAGCGAAAGCGAGUCUGAAUAGGGCGUUUAGUAUUUGGUCGUAGACCCGAAACCAGGUGAUCUACCCUUGGUCAGGUUGAAGUUCAGGUAACACUGAAUGGAGGACCGAACCGACUUACGUUGAAAAGUGAGCGGAUGAACUGAGGGUAGCGGAGAAAUUCCAAUCGAACCUGGAGAUAGCUGGUUCUCUCCGAAAUAGCUUUAGGGCUAGCCUCAAGUGAUGAUUAUUGGAGGUAGAGCACUGUUUGGACGAGGGGCCCCUCUCGGGUUACCGAAUUCAGACAAACUCCGAAUGCCAAUUAAUUUAACUUGGGAGUCAGAACAUGGGUGAUAAGGUCCGUGUUCGAAAGGGAAACAGCCCAGACCACCAGCUAAGGUCCCAAAAUAUAUGUUAAGUGGAAAAGGAUGUGGCGUUGCCCAGACAACUAGGAUGUUGGCUUAGAAGCAGCCAUCAUUUAAAGAGUGCGUAAUAGCUCACUAGUCGAGUGACACUGCGCCGAAAAUGUACCGGGGCUAAACAUAUUACCGAAGCUGUGGAUUGUCCUUUGGACAAUGGUAGGAGAGCGUUCUAAGGGCGUUGAAGCAUGAUCGUAAGGACAUGUGGAGCGCUUAGAAGUGAGAAUGCCGGUGUGAGUAGCGAAAGACGGGUGAGAAUCCCGUCCACCGAUUGACUAAGGUUUCCAGAGGAAGGCUCGUCCGCUCUGGGUUAGUCGGGUCCUAAGCUGAGGCCGACAGGCGUAGGCGAUGGAUAACAGGUUGAUAUUCCUGUACCACCUAUAAUCGUUUUAAUCGAUGGGGGGACGCAGUAGGAUAGGCGAAGCGUGCGAUUGGAUUGCACGUCUAAGCAGUAAGGCUGAGUAUUAGGCAAAUCCGGUACUCGUUAAGGCUGAGCUGUGAUGGGGAGAAGACAUUGUGUCUUCGAGUCGUUGAUUUCACACUGCCGAGAAAAGCCUCUAGAUAGAAAAUAGGUGCCCGUACCGCAAACCGACACAGGUAGUCAAGAUGAGAAUUCUAAGGUGAGCGAGCGAACUCUCGUUAAGGAACUCGGCAAAAUGACCCCGUAACUUCGGGAGAAGGGGUGCUCUUUAGGGUUAACGCCCAGAAGAGCCGCAGUGAAUAGGCCCAAGCGACUGUUUAUCAAAAACACAGGUCUCUGCUAAACCGUAAGGUGAUGUAUAGGGGCUGACGCCUGCCCGGUGCUGGAAGGUUAAGAGGAGUGGUUAGCUUCUGCGAAGCUACGAAUCGAAGCCCCAGUAAACGGCGGCCGUAACUAUAACGGUCCUAAGGUAGCGAAAUUCCUUGUCGGGUAAGUUCCGACCCGCACGAAAGGCGUAACGAUUUGGGCACUGUCUCAACGAGAGACUCGGUGAAAUCAUAGUACCUGUGAAGAUGCAGGUUACCCGCGACAGGACGGAAAGACCCCGUGGAGCUUUACUGUAGCCUGAUAUUGAAAUUCGGCACAGCUUGUACAGGAUAGGUAGGAGCCUUUGAAACGUGAGCGCUAGCUUACGUGGAGGCGCUGGUGGGAUACUACCCUAGCUGUGUUGGCUUUCUAACCCGCACCACUUAUCGUGGUGGGAGACAGUGUCAGGCGGGCAGUUUGACUGGGGCGGUCGCCUCCUAAAAGGUAACGGAGGCGCUCAAAGGUUCCCUCAGAAUGGUUGGAAAUCAUUCAUAGAGUGUAAAGGCAUAAGGGAGCUUGACUGCGAGACCUACAAGUCGAGCAGGGUCGAAAGACGGACUUAGUGAUCCGGUGGUUCCGCAUGGAAGGGCCAUCGCUCAACGGAUAAAAGCUACCCCGGGGAUAACAGGCUUAUCUCCCCCAAGAGUUCACAUCGACGGGGAGGUUUGGCACCUCGAUGUCGGCUCAUCGCAUCCUGGGGCUGUAGUCGGUCCCAAGGGUUGGGCUGUUCGCCCAUUAAAGCGGUACGCGAGCUGGGUUCAGAACGUCGUGAGACAGUUCGGUCCCUAUCCGUCGUGGGCGUAGGAAAUUUGAGAGGAGCUGUCCUUAGUACGAGAGGACCGGGAUGGACAUACCUCUGGUGUACCAGUUGUCGUGCCAACGGCAUAGCUGGGUAGCUAUGUGUGGACGGGAUAAGUGCUGAAAGCAUCUAAGCAUGAAGCCCCCCUCAAGAUGAGAUUUCCCAACUUCGGUUAUAAGAUCCCUCAAAGAUGAUGAGGUUAAUAGGUUCGAGGUGGAAGCAUGGUGACAUGUGGAGCUGACGAAUACUAAUCGAUCGAAGACUUAAUCAA
rnacentral:rRNA from 1 species